AACGCUCUGAUGAAGUAAAAAAUAUUGGUAUAAAAAGGGCGGUGACCGGCUCACUCUUUUUUGCCAGCAUAGGCCUUCUAAGCGCU
rnacentral:snoRNA from 1 species